rnacentral:rRNA from 1 species
CGCCUGUUUAUCAAAAACAUCGCCUCUUGUUCAAUUAUAGGAGGUCCAGCCUGCCCAGUGACUUUGUUCAACGGCCGCGGUAUCCUAACCGUGCGAAGGUAGCGUAAUCACUUGUUCUUUAAAUGAGGACUAGUAUGAAUGGCCCCACGAGGGCUGCACUGUCUCCUUUUUCUAAUCAAUGAAACUAAUCUCCCCGUGAAGAAGCGGGAAUUGUCCUAUAAGACGAGAAGACCCUAUGGAGCUUUAAACAAUUGAAACAUUUGCUUUUCUCCUAACUCCUCCCGAGCUCUUUAUUUUUAUUUAAGCAUUAUUAUUUCUAGUUUUAGGUUGGGGUGACCACGGAGCAAAACUAAACCUCCAUGAAGAAAUGAAUAUUUUUAAGCCACAAACUACUUUUUUAAGCAUCAACAAAUUGACCUUCAUUGACCCAAUAUAUUGAUCAACGAACCAAGUUACCCUAGGGAUAACAGCGCAAUCUACUUCAAGAGCUCAUAUCGACAAGUAGGUUUACGACCUCGAUGUUGGAUCAGGGUAUCCUAGUGGUGCAGCCGCUACUAAUGGUUCGUUUGUUCAACGAUUAAAACCCU